GGAGGCCAUAUCGAUGUGGAACAUGAAGGGCAUACAUAUCCAGCUGGUGCAGUAUGAGGAGGAAAGCUCUUGAUAUGGGAAACCAAACAAUUUGUGUGUAAAACGUGCAGGCAACCCAAUCGGGUGGUUUGAGAAUCAUUCCCCUCUUCAAGCACAGCUUGGCACGAGCAACAUUUUGGAGGCCAAUCAUACUCUCCAUCUAUU
rnacentral:misc_RNA from 1 species